rnacentral:rRNA from 1 species
UCGCCUGCAUGAAGCUGGAAUUGCUAGUAAUCGCGGAUCAGCAAGCCGCGGUGAAUACGUUCCCGGGCCUUGUACACACCGCCCGUCACACCAUGAGAGUCGGGAACACCCGAAGUCCGUAGUCUAACCGCAAGGGGGGCGCGGCCGAAGGUGGGUCCGGUAAUUGGGGUGAAGUCGUAACAAGGUACC